GCCGCCGUGGCGGAAUUGGCAGACGCUGCGGACUUAAAAUCCGCUUCCGGCAACGGAGUGGGGGUUCGAGUCCCCCCGGCGGCA
rnacentral:tRNA from 1 species